AUAGCAAUAGCUACUUGCAUCAUUCUAAAUAUGAUGCAAGAUCGACUAUGUCGAAUAAAAUUCUAGGUAGAAUUAUGAUAAUGACAUUGUCUGCCUAUGUGUCUUGACCAAAUUACGUGCCAGCAGUCGCGGUAAUACGUAGAAGACUAGUGUUAUUCAUGUUUAAUCGGUUUAAAGGGUACCUAGACGGUAAAUCAAGCCUAAAAGGAAAUAAAUGAAGGGACUAAUUUACUAGAGUUACUUAUGAGGGGGUAUUAAAGUACUGCUGGUGUAGAGAUGAAAUUCUGUCAUACCUCUUUUCAAUAGAAAAAUAAUGGCACAGGUAUAGGCGAAAGCAUCCCCUUAUGUGAUAACUGACGUUGAGGGACGAAGGCUUUGUGUAGCGAACAGGAUUAGAUACCCCAGUAGUCAAAGCAGAAAAUGAUGAAUGUCAUAGAUUAGAUAUAUAAGUUUAUUCUAUAAAUGAAAGUGUAAGCAUUCCACCUCAAGAGUAAUUUGGCAACAUUGGAACUGAAAUCAUUAGACCGUUUCUGAAACCAGUAGUGAAGUAUGUUGUUUAAUUUGAUGAUCCGCAAAAAACCUUACCACAAUUUGAAUAUUUAUAUCUUUUAUUGUUUUUCUUUUUAACUUUCUUCUGAUUUUCUACUUAAAAGAUAACAAUAACAAGAAAAAAGAGGCAAUAAGAUAUAUUUACAAGCGUUGCACGGCUGUCUUCAGUUAAUGUCGCGAGACUCUGGUUAGUUCCAUUAAAUUAACGUAAACCCUUACUUUAUUUUUAUAUAGAGUAGUUCCCCGCUAUAUUGGAUAUGAUAACAGGGACUAAGACAAGUCAUCA
rnacentral:rRNA from 1 species